GACGACAUUUGCCGAAAAUUUCGCUUCUUUUAUUGAGUAAAUUGUCUUUGUUUAUGUCUUUCAAAGAAAAAUUUUGCAUUUUGAAAGACAUAAACAAAGACAAUUUACUCAAUAAAAGAAGCGAAAUUUUCGGCAAAUGUCGUC
rnacentral:miRNA from 1 species